GGAGCCUAGAGGACAGUCAUUAAAGAUCAUUAUUUAGCAUCAACCCAGAAAUAGCAAAACAUCUACCUAAACACUAUGUUUUGUCAAAAAAUAUUUUGCCUUUCAUUAUCUUUAAAAAGUAAUAACUGAAGAACAGAAUGAAUAAGACAUGACAUAAUUACUGCCUUUGAGAGAAGAGACUCUGAGGGUCCAUGUGUACUUCAAGUGUUCAGUCGUCUAAUUUUAAUUGAUGGUACAAAGCCUUGAGGCUCUCUGAACCCCAUGGCUUCUCCUCACUCUGAAUCAAGCCUUCUCAAAUUUAACACUAGAAUAUUGUAGGUCACAUACUUCUUUGUUACAGGGGACUAGCCUGUGUGUUAUAGGAUGUUUAACAGCAUCCUGUCUUCUACCAGAUGCCAACAGCAGCCCCCCCUCCCCUCAGUUAUGACACCAAACUGUCUCCAGGCAUUGUCAAAUGUCUCCUGGGGGUAUGUGUAAUUACCCACAAUUGAGAACCAGGUUCUAAAUGUAUAGCUAAUCCUAAUUAGUUUUAUCCUAAUCAUAUGAAAAACUUAUCCAAAUUCAGUUUCCUGAGAACAUUUUUCAAGUUUCCAAGUUCCUUUAAUUAUUAUAGAAUAACCACACUUUUCUCAUUACAACUAUUGGUGACAAGAUUUACUUUCAGCUGGUUGUUUAUUUCCUCUCUUUGGUCUUUCUUUUGUAUCACACAGCUACUCUGUUCCCUCAUUUCCAUGCCAAAGAGAAAGCCUGGAAGCAGGAAAACAUAAGGAAAAUCGAGCAAUCACUGAUCAGUACCAUUUGCUGGGCUCAAACAGAGAGGAGCCAAUGACAGUAAACAUAAUGGUCCUGUGUAUGUCAAGAAGAGCAGCUAAGAAAGGCUCCUCAGAGAGCCUGGUUUCAGGCAUGAAUUUCAGAAGAUCUGCCGAGAGCAUUUUCCUGGAAUGUAUUUUAUUCACUUAAUCAUCCUAAGAUGAGAAAGUGAGACACAGAGAGCUUAAUAAACGUGCCAAAGCUGACACAGGAAUAAGUUGAAGAGCGGAGUUUGAACCAGGCAGUUGAAAUCCAAAGCGAGUGCUCUUGUACAAUGCGGCCUCUUCAGGUGGAGUUCUGCUUUAGCGUAUAACCUCUGAUUGCCCGAAGCCUACCCAAAUCAAAGCAGUCAUGCCCCCAGGCCGCGUCUGCAAUCCGCUCACUUACAUUUCCAUCGUGGUUUGGGCAAGAGAGAGGCUUUCCGG